CUAUCCUUAUCUACUCCUGUGGCUUCCAUGAAUAUACAUAGUUAGGAACCGAAUGAAGACUCUAUCUGGAAUCUAGACCAUAGCAAACAGAUUGUUACAUCAUAUGUCACAUAUGAUGCUCGAAAAACACUGCCAAUCUCAACCUGUCAGAACUGUGUACAGCAGCUCUUCUUCCUCUCUAAGACACAUCACCCAUAAGCCCAGGAGACUGAGGAUCACAGACAUCCAGGUAUACCAAAAUGAAGACUGACAAAUAUCAUCUAUGAAUUGAGGUCACUGAAGCCCCAACUUAGUUCUAAGAACUUAUUCUGAGAUGGAAUCAAUGCUACCCCCGUUCUAGACCGUCUAGCUGCACUCACACAGGCAGUGGCAUGUCUCACCGUACACUCUGAGGUCAAUGUCCCUUUGCUUCUCCCCAGCAGCAUUCACUGCUACGCAGGUGUACCUUCCUGUGUCACUCAUUUGAGCACUGGUCAGUGCCAAGAUGCGACCCCCCGAGAGAACCUAUCAAUAAAAACAAAGUGACCAUCUCAACUGUUGGACAGGAGCUGGUAGACUUACUCAAUGUACAGCUGGCACAAAGCUUCAAUUUGUAAAACUACAACAAUAUAGAAUCUACAAAGCUUCAUGAAUUUUGAGAAUCCUGUGUUGAACACAUUGGUCAUAAAAAAAGAAGAUACCUGUAUUCCAUUAGAGAAGCUAGAGACUGGGCUCCCAUCUUUCAACCAGGUCAGACUGGGGGCAGGAAUGCCCCUGGCUUCACAUUCUAACCUUGCUAGAUUAUUCACCACCACCUCCACCAUGGAACUACUACCUGAGAUCGAAGGAGGCACUGAAAAAAAGGAAACAAACAGUAAUGUGUGUUGCCACCACAGGACAAUGAAAACCAUAUGUCAUUUCCAUAAUAAAUUUUACAAGGUAA